UACGGCCAUAGCGCGUAGAAACACCGGUUUCAUCCGAUCACCGAAGUUAAGCAAUGUUAAACCUGGUCAGUACUCUCGGAAGGGUGACCGCAGGAGAAUAUCAGAUAUUGUAA